rnacentral:misc_RNA from 1 species
CCGAGUUUACAACUCCCAAACCCCUGUGAACAUACCACUUUGUUGCCUCGGCGGAUCAGCCCGCUCCCGGUAAAACGGGACGGCCCGCCAGAGGACCCUAAACUCUGUUUCUUAUGUAACUUCUGAGUAGAAACCAUAAAUAAAUCA